UGGCCUUUUCNACCCAAGACACCAUGGGC
rnacentral:piRNA from 1 species